UUGAAGACACAGGGAGAAGAUGGUCAUCUACAAACCAAGGAGAGAGGCCUCAGAAGAAAUCAUCUGGGUCCAUACCUUGGUCUGGAACUUCCAGCUUCCAGAACUCCCACCAAAUUCAAGAGGAGAAGACACCUGUCCGUGUGAAGGUGGCAAAGUCACAUUGUAAAGGAGCAUGUAGGACAGAUGAUAUUGUUGUACCUGUCUUCAGAAAUCCAAUCUGCCACAAAAUGAAUAGGGUAGUUUCCAGAAUCAGACGGUUUCUUGAUCUACAUUUGAAAACUGAAAGAAGAACAUUAGGUCUUAAUCUCCAUCAACAAAUUCCUUCCAGCCAAGAACUCCCAGACUGAGCCACGGGGAGGGAGGCAUUCUCGAGAACCGAUGGGAAGAUCAACCUCAUUUUAUUGGUUUGGAGGACAGCCGGACCUCUAAGGCGUCCGUGUGGUAUGAUUGGGAGGAUCACUCAUCCUCUAAAAAGCCAGUUGCCAUGUUAUGAGAACCUUCAAGCAAUCCUAUGGAAAAGCGCAAAUGGCAAGAAACUAAAGCCUUUUUCCAACAGUCAGAGAGAAACUGAGGCCUCAUGCCAAUAAUCAUGUAAGUGAACCAUCACAUGAGCAGAUCCUCCAGCCUUAGUCAAGCUUUCAGGUGACCACAGCCCUGGCCACCAUCAUGACUCUCAGUUCAGGAGAGGCUCUGAGCCCAAACUACCCAGCUAAGCUGUUUCUGAGUUCUUGACCCACAGAAACUGUGGGAUAAUAAAUAUUUACUAUAUUAAGCCACUAAGUGUUGGAGGUAGUUUGUUAUGUAGUGAUAAACAACUAACACACUGAGUUAGGGC